GUGCCAGCCGCCGCGGUAAGACAGAGGUGGCAAGCGUUGUUCGGAUUUACUGGGCGUAAAGGGUGCGUAGGUGGUUAGGUAAGACCUGUGGGAAAGACCUGGGCUUAACCCAGGAAGGUCGCAGGUGACUGCCUAGCUAGAGGGCGGGAGAGGAGCGCGGAAUUCCCGGUGUAGCGGUGAAAUGCGUAGAGAUCGGGAGGAAGGCCGGUGGCGAAGGCGGCGCUCUGGAACGUUCCUGACACUGAGGCACGAAAGCGUGGGGAGCAAACAGGAUUAGAAACCCCCGUAGUCC
rnacentral:rRNA from 1 species